rnacentral:rRNA from 1 species
UACGUAGGUGGCAAGCGUUGUCCGGAGUUAUUGGGCGUAAAGCGCGCGCAGGCGGUGCGGUAAGUCUCUGGUGAAAGCGCUCGGCUUAACUGGGCGAGGGCCGGGGAGACUGCCACGCUGGAGGGGAGCAGAGGCGAGUGGAAUUCCGGGUGUAGUGGUGAAAUGCGUAGAGAUCCGGAGGAACACCAGUGGCGAAGGCGGCUCGCUGGGCUCUACCUGACGCUGAGGCGCGAAAGCUGGGGGAGCAAACAGG